ACCAGUAUGGUGUAGUGGUUUGAGUGUUGGAUUAGGACUCUGGAGACCUGGGUUCGAAUCCCUGCUCUGCUA